rnacentral:rRNA from 1 species
UACGUAGGUGGCAAGCGUUGUCCGGAAUUAUUGGGCGUAAAGCGCGCGCAGGCGGUCCUUUAAGUCUGAUGUGAAAGCCCACGGCUCAACCGUGGAGGGUCAUUGGAAACUGGGGGAGCUUGAGUACAGAAGAGAAGAGUGGAAUUCCACGUGUAGCGGUGAAAUGCGUAGAGAUGUGGAGGAACACCAGUGGCGAAGGCGACUCUUUGGUCUGUAACUGACGCUGAGGCACGAAAGUGUGGGGAUCAAACAGG